AUGAACGCUGGCGGCGUGCCUAAUACAUGCAAGUCGAGCGAACAGACGAGGAGCUUGCUCCUCUGACGUUAGCGGCGGACGGGUGAGUAGCACGUGGAUAACCUACCUAUAAGACUGGGAUAACUUCGGGAAACCGGAGCUAAUACCGGAUAAUAUAUUGAACCGCAUGGUUCAAUAGUGAAAGACGGUUUUGCUGUCACUUAUAGAUGGAUCCGCGCCGCAUUAGCUAGUUGGUAAGGUAACGGCUUACCAAGGCAACGAUGCGUAGCCGACCUGAGAGGGUGAUCGGCCACACUAGAACUGAGACACGGUCCAGACUCCUACGGGAGGCAGCAGUAGGGAAUCUUCCGCAAUGGGCGAAAGCCUGACGGAGCAACGCCGCGUGAGUGAUGAAGGUCUUCGGAUCGUAAAACUCUGUUAUUAGGGAAGAACAAAUGUGUAAGUAACUAUGCACGUCUUGACGGUACCUAAUCAGAAAGCCACGGCUAACUACGUG
rnacentral:rRNA from 1 species